ACGCCCCGCGGAGAGAAGAACCACCAGCUCCCUAGACAAGAAAGGGAGGCGCGGUCAGGCAGCGCUCCCGGACAGAUGUGGCAGAUUGCCUUUUUAGGCGAGAAAGAUGGAGGUUAUUCACGGCAGACCCUACUGUUGCAGGGAGCUUGAAGGAGCUGACAUUCUGUCAAACACCUUUUACUCUAAUGGACUGCACACCCCUUAUGAAACAACUAUUCGACCAACCGCUUCAGAAGACAGGUAUCAGGAGUUGAGGCAGGCACUGCCACAAUGCAGGCUUCGGUGGGGUGCCGACCGGGAAUAUGGUGGCAUGCUUCCUGUUUCCCUUCCCGAAGAACACAGGCCAAAAUGUGAGCCUCCUCGCCUCAUGAGCAAAGGACAUCAGCAUUAUGGAUUUGGUGGAGAGAUCUGGCCCAAAAAGCUCCCUAUUGAACAGUAUUACUAUUUGACACAGAAUAAGAAGAGUGACCUGUAUGGAAACGACUCUUUGACUUUUCUCUUGUUUUUAUUCAAGGUUACCCAAACCACCUAAUUCAACAGUAGGAGAAAUCUGCUCAUCAUAUCCAAUUGAACAUCCCUAUCAUACGCACAUAAGCCGUGGCGCCAUGUUUCCGGCCUUUACAUCACCUAAGGACCUCUACACCGGUGUUAAAGCUCGCACCCAGCAGCCUUUUCCUCCUACAUUGCCAAC
rnacentral:lncRNA from 1 species